UACGUAGGGUGCAAGCGUUGUCCGGAAUUAUUGGGCGUAAAGAGCUUGUAGGCGGUUUGUCGCGUCUGCUGUGAAAUUUCGGGGCUCAACCCCGAACUUGCAGUGGGUACGGGCAGACUAGAGUGUGGUAGGGGAGACUGGAAUUCCUGGUGUAGCGGUGAAAUGCGCAGAUAUCAGGAGGAACACCGAUGGCGAAGGCAGGUCUCUGGGCCAUAACUGACGCUGAGGCGCGAAAGCGUGGGGAGCAAACAGG
rnacentral:rRNA from 1 species